UCUACAUUGUUUUCUUCAUUGCUUUCACUUCCCUCGUUCAUUUCAUCCGUUUCUCUGUUAUCUCCUUUGCAGUGGGAAGCAAGAUUGAGGCCUACCUUUGUUCUUAGCUAAGCACAGCUGGGGACUGAACCCAGGGCCUUGCGCUUGCUAGGCAAGUGCUCUACCGCUCUGAGCUAAAUCCCCAACCCCUCGUCUACUGAUUUUUGAGUGUUCAUUUUGCACCCUGCUACUUUGACGGCAGCUUUUAUUGAGGGAGACCCCUAGGAUGUCCGGGCAGGGCAACGGAUCUCAAAGAGUUAUGGACUAAUAUUUAGAAACCGAGAGAAUAAAUGCCCCAAGUUUUUAUUCAAAAAAAUAUUGAACUGUCUGUACUGGCUGGUUUGUGUGCGUCAACUUGACACAAGCUGGAGUUAUCACAGAGAAAGGAGCCUCCGUUGAGGAAAUGCCUCCGUGAGACCCAGCUGUAAGGCAUUUUCUCAAUUAGUGAUCAAGGGGCGAGGACCAUUGUGGGAGGUGCCGUCCCUGGGCUGGUGGUCCUGGGUUCUCUAAGAAGACAGGCUGAGCAAGGCUAGUAAGCAGUACCCCUCCUGCAUCAGCUCCUGCCUCCAGGUUCCUGUCCUGUGUGAGUUCCUGUCCUGACUUCCUUUGGUGAUGAACAGCAAUGUGGAAGUGUGAGCUGAAUAAACCCUUUCCUCCCCAACUUGCUUCUUGGUCGUGAUGUUUGUGCAGGAGUAGAAACCCUAACGGGGGUGGGGGUGGGGGAGUGGGGGUGGAAGGGGUGGGUGGGUGAACGCCCUCGUAGAAGCAGGGGGAGGGGGAGGGGAUAGAGGGUUUAUGGAUGGGAAACUGGUAAAGGGGAUAAUAUUUGAAAUGUAAAUAAAAAAAUCUAAUUAAAAAAAAAAGAAUAAAAAAAGAAACCCUGACUAAGACACUGCUCUGAGUCCCUAAUUUAUGCAAAGCAGC